GAUGAACGCUGGCGGCGUGCCUAAUACAUGCAAGUCGAGCGAACGGACGAGAAGCUUGCUUCUCUGAUUUUAGCGGCGGACGGGUGAGUAACACGUGGAUAACCUACCUAUAAGACUGGGAUAACUUCGGGAAACCGGAGCUAAUACCGGAUAAUAUUUUGAACCGCAUGGUUCAAAAGUGAAAGACGGUCUUUCUGUCACUUAUAGAUGGAUCCGCGCUGCAUUAGCUAGUUGGUAAGGUAACGGCUUACCAAGGCAACGAUGCAUAGCCGACCUGAGAGGGUGAACGGCCACACGGGAUCUGAGGAAGGGUCCAGACUCCGGCGGGAGGAAGCAGUAGAGAAUCCUACGCGAUGGGCGAGAGCCGGACAGAGCAAAGCCGCGGAAGGGAUGAAGGUCUUAGGAUCGGAGAACGAUGAAAGUAGGGGAGAACAUAUGUGUAAGUAACUGUGAAGAUAUUGACGGUACCGAAUCAGAAAGCCACGGCUAACUACGUG
rnacentral:rRNA from 1 species